rnacentral:lncRNA from 10 species
GGUGUGAUGUGGUGUUGGUGCGUGUUGUUGCGAAGGCCCUGUGUGAAAGUCGCCUGGGUUUUCGGGUGUGAUGUGGUGUUGGCGUCGUGUUGUUGCGAAGGCCCUGUGUGAAAGUCGCCUGGGUUUUCGGGUGUGAUGUGGUGUUGGCGUCGUGUUGUUGCGAAGGCCCUGUGUGAAAGUCGCCUCGGUUUUCGGGUGUGAUGUGGUGUUGGUGUCGUGUUGUUGCGAAGGCCCUGUGUGAAAGUCGCCGGGGUUUUCGGGUGUGAUGUGGUGUUGGUGUCGUGUUGUUGCGAAGGCCCUGUGUGAAGGUCGCCUGGGUUUUCGGGUGUGAUGUGGUGUUGGUGUCGUGUUGUUGCGAAGGCCCUGUGUGAAGGUCGCCUGGGUUUUCGGGUGUGAUGUGGUGUUGGUGUCGUGUUGUUGCGAAGGCCCUGUGUGAAAGUCGCCUGGGUUUUCGGGUGUGAUGUGGUGUUGGCGUCGUGUUGUUGCAAAGGCCUGUCUUCAGGUGUACGAGGAGGCAUUUCCAAAUGCAGGAAUGUGAUGCCUGGGAUCUGCGUCAUGGCAAAACAGCAGGGGCAAGGAGUGUGGGGCGGAUGUGGCAGCUGCUAACACUGGCACGGUGCACUGUGGCCUACGAGGGUCCCCAGCUGUCCACAGUUCAUUCCUCCCCAUUGCGUGGCUUCCUGAACAGCCAUGUAUUUCCUAACUCUGCCGGCUGAGGGGCUGAGAAGCUGCAGCACCCCAGUAGUAACGGGCACCCCAGCACCCACGUCUUGGUCUCUAAACACCUUCCCCACUAAAGCAUCAGGCUUCUCAGGGAAGCCAAUAGUCCCGGCUACUCAGGAGGCUGAGGUGGCAGCACAGCUUGAGCCCAGUAGGUUGAGACUAGCCUGAGC